UUAUCCGGAUCCGGACGGUUUGUCUGUUCUGUAGGAGCUAUUCAACGUACCGUAGUCUUUAGUUUUUUUUGGCGCAACAUUACAACAUUAAGAAACAAGACAAAUUUAAAAAAGAGAACAAAGCAACAAAGUAAGCGACUAUAAGGAACAGUUGUUCUACUAGGCCGAUUUGCAUGACAGGGUCGGCUAUAGACAAUACUGCGUGCGAUGGAUGAAGAUCCUGUGACAGCACCUAACCGAUUUGGAAUAAGUUAGCUGGAUGCCAGUAAUAAUAAUAUUAUGCAGCUUUCAAGUUUUUUUUUAUUAAUUCCGCUGAUUUAUGCUUCACACAACUGAGCCUAUAAGGAGGUUUAAUAGGAGUUUAUGUGUGCGUUUACCAUGUGAAACUGCACUGCAUUUUUGAUAUUUCCUAUUUAUUCAUUUAUUGUGUUGUUUUAUCCGUUUAUUUAUUUAUUUUUUUUUUU